CCUACGGGAGGCAGCAGUGGGGAAUAUUGCACAAUGGGGGAAACCCUGAUGCAGCGACGCCGCGUGAGUGAAGAAGUAUUUCGGUACGUAAAGCUCUAUCAGCAGGGAAGAAAAUGACGGUACCUGACUAAGAAGCCCCGGCUAACUACGUGCCAGCAGCCGCGGUAAUACGUAGGGGGCAAGCGUUAUCCGGAUUUCCUGGGUGUAAAGGGAGCGUAGACGGCAGCGCAAGUCUGGAGUGAAAUCCCAUGGCUUAACCAUGGAACUGCUUUGGAAACUGUGCAGCUAGAGUGCAGGAGAGGUAAGCGGAAUUCCUAGUGUAGCGGUGAAAUGCGUAGAUAUUAGGAGGAACACCAGUGGCGAAGGCGGCUUACUGGACUGUAACUGACGUUGAGGCUCGAAAGCGUGGGGAGCAAACAGGAUUAGAUACCCGAGUAGUC
rnacentral:rRNA from 1 species